rnacentral:rRNA from 1 species
UCCAGUCCAUACCACCUGAAUGCGCCUGAUCUCGUCUGAUCUUGGAAGCUAAGCAGGGUCAGGCCUGGUUAGUACUUGAGUGGAUUUUUAAGAAUGCAGAUAGUGGAC